CGUUGUCCCUGCGCGACGCCGAGGAGUUUGGCGGCCUGGGCAGGGCACCCGUGGACUGGGGCAGGCUGCCCGAGAGCAGGCCACCUAGAAUCGCCAACCUCUCUGAGCAUGGCGCAACCCCAAGGCCAUAUAAGUCGCAGCCUGGCUACGGACAAAGCAACAAUGCACAAAGACGGGCGAAGCCGAUUGUUUACUGUGACAAGACGUGAGGGAUUUUUUGAACGACGGAGCGUAUUACUGUUGAUUUAUGUGUGAUACAAGCUUCUUGGUGAGCUCAUACAGCAGGCAUCUGUCAAGGAGGGUAUUCCUGGGUGUCCCAUGAGACUGGAGAGGGAGACUGGGAUGCUAGCCGGUGCUCUCAAAUGAGGCGGGAGACCGGGAUACGCUGCCGCGGCCGACAGAAAUGAUCACUGGUGGCAGUCGUCAGUGGCAUCCAUGACGCCAACUACGACAGCUAUGAAAAUUAACCACGUCACACGUUCAUCCUCAGGUAUGUGACGGCACUAUUCCACCCGCAUUGCGCGAUUGUGCUACAGCUACUGCUUUUGUUUCUUCGCACAUUGUGGGUGAAAAAUACGACUUUUUUCUUACCGAGA